GGAGGCCAUUGGUAUUGCAUGCUCCAUGGGAUGCCUCAUGAAAGGGACACGGGUGGAAACUGGUAACUUCUAGUAUUGAGUUCCAGCUCAUGAACAGGGAUCCUGGUCUCUCUGCUCUCCCCUUCUCUCUACCCCUCUCAAGUUUCAUUUCGUGUCAUGACAUGAGGCUUCACAGUGGCCAGGGCAGCUGGGGCCGUAGAGGACAUGGCCUGGACUCUCAUCCCUUCCUGUAGCUUCGGGGCACAAGGUCUCUCUCUGUCACCCAGGCUGGAGUACAGUGCUGUGGUCAUAGCUCACUGCAGCCUCGAACUCCUGGGCUCAAGUGGUCCUCCUGAUUGGCCUAAGGUUCCCCGGAAAAGCCAGACUUGCACUCAGGUCACCUGACUCCAAAGGACAUCGUGUCCCUGCAGUGAAUUCAUUUCUGUGUCCUCAGUCUCCAGCACAGGACCAGCCAGGCACAGAGAGGGACUCAUUGGAGAAGUGUGGCCUUUCUCAAGCAGGAGAGAGGCGAGGAGGAGCUGGAGCACCGGCAGGGGU
rnacentral:lncRNA from 1 species